AGUCAGAAAGGACAGAAAAAGCACACUACAGAGUCAAGACAGAAACCAGAUAGAGGCCCACGAAGACUUGGACGCAGGAUCAGAGGGCAGCGAGGGAUGUCCAGAACUCACUCAGCCUGGCAAGUCUGGGAAAGAACAGAAAAAAAACGCACUAAAGAGUCGAGACUGAGACACCAGACCGAGACACCAGACCGAGACACCAGACCGAGACACCAGACCGAGACCCCAGAAUGAGCCCCAAGAGGACUUGGCCGCAGGAUCAGAGGACAGCGAGGGAUGUCCAGAACUCACUCAGUCCAGUAAAUUGGUUUUAAGAGAAUGACUCCUCAACCCAAGAGGCCCUGGAGCAGCGGUGAGAGAACAUCAGUGUGGAAGCAUUUGGGAAAACUGAAAGCGCUAAAGAAGGUUCCCGACAAAGGGGAUUGCCUCUUACGUAAGGGUCAGAGCCACUGAGUGUACAAAACCUCAAGGACACCUUCCUAAUAUUGAGUUACGCCUGGUCAGUUUGUCAUGGAAAGAAAGAAAGGUGUCCUUAAUGUUUUGUGCACUUAGUGUUAAUAGCAUAAUAAUUAUACAGUUAUGGAUUAUUUUUGCGGAUUAUGAGGGAAGCCCUGUAUUACUACCUUGCAUGUUCUGCAGCGUUGUAAAGAUAAGGAGGGGAUGACUGGGAGGCAGGUUGGAAUUUAUUGUCAUGAAUCUUGCCCUGGAGGCAGUUCUGCAAAGUGGUCACUAGCUGGAACAGGCACAAGGUAAUAAAAUCUGAUUUUGAUCCUAACCUUAACCACACUGCUAAUUCUUACCUUAAAUUAUUUUCCACUAAUGUUAACUAUAUAGCCAAUUUUGACUUUGCAGCUGGCAUAUCUAGAGGAAAUCGCGCAUGUAUGCCUGCAGGGGAAGAUUCAUGACAAACGUCAACC